rnacentral:rRNA from 1 species
CGCGGGCCCCAUGCCUCGGGCAUGCAGGUUUCACGAGCCCUUCAGGGUUAGUGGCGCACGGGUGCGUAACUUGGGAAUCUGCCCUUUGCUUCGGAAUAACUCAGGGAAACUUGUUCUAAUACCGGAUGAUGUCGAAAGACCAAAGAUUUAUCGGCAAGGGAUGAGCCCGCGUAGGAUUAGGUAGUUGGUGGGGUAAAGGCCUACCAAGCCGACGAUCCUUAGCUGGUCUGAGAGGAUGAUCAGCCACACUGGGACUGAGACGCGGCCCAGACUCCUACGGGAGGCAGCAGUGGGGAAUAUUGGACAAUGGGCGAAAGCCUGAUCCAGCAAUGCCGCGUGAGUGAUGAAGGCCUUAGGGUCGUAAAACUCUUUUACCAGGGAUGAUAAUGACAGUACCUGGAGAAUAAGCUCCGGCUAACUCCGUGCCAGCAGCCGCGGUAAUACGGAGGGAGCUAGCGUUGUUCGGAAUUACUGGGCGUAAAGCGUACGUAGGCGGUUAUUCAAGUCAGAGGUGAAAGCCCGGGGCUCAACCCCGGAACGGCCUUUGAAACUAGGUAGCUAGAAUCUUGGAGAGGUCAGUGGAAUUCCGAGUGUAGAGGUGAAAUUCGUAGAUAUUCGGAAGAACACCAGUGGCGAAGGCGACUGACUGGACAAGUAUUGACGCUGAGGUACGAAAGCGUGGGGAGCAAACAGGAUUAGAUACCCUGGUAGUCCACGCCGUAAACGAUGAUAACUAGCUGUCCGGGCACUUGGUGCCUGGGUGGCGCAGCUAACGCAUUAAGUUAUCCGCCUGGGGAGUACGGUC